ACCCUGAUAUUAGCCAUUUAUCCUUAUGUGACAUAACCUCAAAUAACCUGAAAUAACCUAUGUUACUCAAUUGGCAAAUUAUUUCCUUUACUUCAAUCUAAAAAAUUUCGUCGUUCUAUUUUCGAAAUGUUCAACUACGUUACGAAAAUAUUGUUAAACGUAAUUACACACAUAUCAAGAAUUUUUUAAGAAUUAAGAAGAAUACUAAUGUGUUGAGCUCAAUCUUUAAGCGUAUUAAUAGUUUCUUAUCAACAGUAAAUUCCGGUCAUUUCAUGGAACAAUUAAAUAUUUUUUAAAAAUACUUCUAAAAAUUGGUUAUUAUGAUUAUAAAACGAUGAGGACGAGACUGAAAUUAGUAAUUUGUGUGAUUCUUGGAUAUUUUUUGAUACAGUUUUUAUCACGAAGUUAUUACACAGAAGAGUAUCCCGUUAUUUUAUGGUGGACAAAUGAAAUUAUUCAAGAUGAAACAAUAACCUGUGACAUUUAUAAAUGUUUAAUAUCAGGGAAUAGAGAUUAUUUUAAUAAGCCUAAUCUUGCGUUUAAGGACAACACUUUGGGUUGCUGCACUGAAAAUAUGGAAGUUGUGAAUUGUAUCAAUUUAGUGCUAUGAGAAAAUUAAAUUCCAUCAUAAAAGUUGCCAGAGAUUUUGCCCGAAAUGAUCAAAAACUUCAAAAAAUUUGUGUUCUUCAAAAGAAGAUGAGUUUCUACCCAAUUGUUGAUCUAUUUUGCAGUUCAAUUUUUCUAUAGCGUUUAUUAGUUCUUAUUUGGUUUGUUUCUUUUUUGGUUAAGCUCUUUUUGUUUUGUUUGCAGAAGCGGCGCUAGCCCCCUUGGCGCCCCUAUGCAGAUCUUAGAAAAUGCGCCCUUCUAAAAAUGUUUAAAAAAUUUUCAGUACCGUUUAAAUUUACAUAUUUCCAGUGUUACUUAUAUUAAAUACUAAAAUAAAAAGCAAUAGCAGAUACUACAUUUAUUAUUACAUUUUUUAUACAGUAUACAAAAUACAAAUGCUAUUUUACAUCUAAAAAAAUAGAUAUUAACAAUCAUUAAACGUUUACUCUUCGUGCUUUAGCACUUGCAAAAUUUUCAAUUAUCUCGUUGUUAUCAAUUUGAUCACAUACAUCACUUUCUAUUGCGAUCAACGCAAGUCCGACAAGACGUUCUUGUGAUAAAGUUGAUCUAAGAUAGGUUUUUAUAAUUUUUAACCGUGAAAACGAUCGUUCCCCACUUGAAACUGUUGCCGGUUGCGUUAAUAAAACCCGUAAAGCGAUACUUAAGUUAA